rnacentral:rRNA from 1 species
GGCCACCGCUAUUGGAGUACGCUUAAUCCAUGCGAGUCGUGAGGGUUCGGCCCUCGGCGGACUGCUCAGUAACACGCGGACAACCUGCCCUUGGGAGGGGGAUAACCUCGGGAAACUGAGAACAAUACCCCAUAGGCCAUCUAUGCUGGAAGGCUUGAUGGUCGAAAGUUCCGACGCCCAAGGAUGGGUCUGCGGCCUAUCAGGUCGUAGUCGGUGUAACGGACCGACUAGCCUACGACGGGUACGGGCCUUGAGAGAGGUCGCCCGGAGAUGGACUCUGAGACACCAGUCCAGGCCCUACGGGGCGCAGCAGGAGCGAAAACUUCGCAAUGUGGGAAACCACGACGAGGGUACUCCAAGUGCUCACACUAUGUGUGGGCUGUUUUCGUGUCUAAAAAACACGGAGAGUAAGGGCUGGGUAAGACGGGUGCCAGCCGCCGCGGUAAUACCCGCAGCCCGAGUGGUGGUCAUUAUUAUUGGGCCUAAAACGUCCGUAGCCGGCCCGGUAAAUUCUUGGGGAAAUCGAUGUGCUUAACACACCGAAGUCCGAGGAGACUGCCGGGCUUGGGACUGGGUGAGGUCUGAGGUACUUCUGGGGUAGGGGUAAAAUCCUGUAAUCCCGGAAGGACCACCAGUGGCGAAGGCGUCAGACUAGAACGGAUCCGACGGUAAGGGACGAAGCCCUGGGGCACAAACG